GAUGAACGCUGGCGGCGUGCCUAAUACAUGCAAGUCGAGCGAACAGACGAGGAGCUUGCUCCUCUGACGUUUGCGGCGGACGGGUGAGUAACACGUGGAUAACCUACCUAUAAGACUGGGAUAACUUCGGGAAACCGGAGCUAAUACCGGAUAAUAUAUUGAACCGCAUGGUUCAAUAGUGAAAGACGGUUUUGCUGUCACUUAUAGAUGGAUCCGCACCGCAUUAGCUAGUUGGUAAGGUAACGGCUUACCAAGGCAACGAUGCGUAGCCGACCUGAGAGGGUGAUCGGCCACACUGGAACUGAGACACGGUCCAGACUCCUACGGGAGGCAGCAGUAGGGAAUCUUCCGCAAUGGGCGAAAGCCUGACGGAGCAACGCCGCGUGAGUGAUGAAGGUCUUCGGAUCGUAAAACUCUGUUAUUAGGGAAGAACAAAUGUGUAAGUAACUAUGCACGUCUUGACGGUACCUAAUCAGAAAGCCACGGCUAACUACGUG
rnacentral:rRNA from 1 species